GAUGAACGCUGGCGGCGUGCCUAAUACAUGCAAGUCGAGCGAACAGACGAGGCGCUUGCUCCUCUGACGUUAGCGGCGGACGGGUGAGUAACACGUGGAUAACCUACCUAUAAGACUGGGAUCACUUCGGGAAACCGGAGCUAAUACCGGAUAAUAUAUUGAACCGCAUGGUUCAAUAGUGAAAGACGGCUUUGCUGUCACUUAUAGAUGGAUCCGCGCCGCAUUAGCUAGUUGGUAAGGUAACGGCUUACCAAGGCAACGAUGCGUAGCCGACCUGAGAGGGUGAUCGGCGACACUGGAACUGAGACACGGUCCAGACUCCUACGGGAGGCAGCAGUAGGGAAUCGUCCGCAAUGGGCGAGAGCCUGACGGAGCAACGCCGCGUGAGUGAUGAAGGUCUUCGGAUCGUAAAACUCUGUUAUUAGGGAAGAACAAAUGUGUAAGUAACUAUGCACGUCUUGACGGUACCUAAUCAGAAAGCCACGGCUAACUACGUG
rnacentral:rRNA from 1 species